rnacentral:miRNA from 1 species
CCUCCAGAUGUUUUGAGACUACAAUUCCUAUCAUCCCUGACCACUGGUACUGUUAGCUAGGGAUGAUGGGAGUUGUAGUCCCAAAACAUCUGGAGG